rnacentral:rRNA from 1 species
UACGAGGGGGGGCAAAUGUUGUUCGGAAUCACUGGGCGUAAAGGGUGCGUAGGCGGGUCUUUUAAGUCAGGGGGUGAAAUCCUGAGGCUCAACCUCAGAACUGCCUUCGAUACUGGCGAUCUUGAGUCCGGAAGAGGUUGGUGGAACAGCUAGUGUAGAGGUGAAAUUCGUAGAUAUUAGCUAGAACACCAGUGGCGAAGGCGGCCAACUGGUCCGGAACUGACGCUGAGGUGCGAAAGCGUGGGGGAGCAAACAGG